rnacentral:rRNA from 1 species
GUGAACGCUGGCGGUAGGCCUAACACAUGCAAGUCGAACGGCAGCACAGUAAGAGCUUGCUCUUACGGGUGGCGAGUGGCGGACGGGUGAGGAAUACAUCGGAAUCUACUUUUUCGUGGGGGAUAACGUAGGGAAACUUGCGCUAAUACCGCAUACGACCUACGGGUGAAAGCAGGGGAUCUUCGGACCUUGCGCGAUUGAAUGAGCCGAUGUCGGAUUAGCUAGUUGGCGGGGUAAAGGCCCACCAAGGCGACGAUCCGUAGCUGGUCUGAGAGGAUGAUCAGCCACACUGGAACUGAGACACGGUCCAGACUCCUACGGGAGGCAGCAGUGGGGAAUAUUGGACAAUGGGCGCAAGCCUGAUCCAGCCAUACCGCGUGGGUGAAGAAGGCCUUCGGGUUGUAAAGCCCUUUUGUUGGGAAAGAAAAGCAGCAGGUUAAUACCCCGCUGUUCUGACGGUACCCAAAGAAUAAGCACCGGCUAACUUCGUG